GACGAACGCUGGCGGCGUGCUUAACACAUGCAAGUCGAACGGAAAGGCCCUGCUUUUGUGGGGUGCUCGAGUGGCGAACGGGUGAGUAACACGUGAGUAACCUGCCCUUGACUUUGGGAUAACUUCAGGAAACUGGGGCUAAUACCGGAUAGGAGCUCCUGCUGCAUGGUGGGGAUUGGAAAGUUUCGGCGGUUGGGGAUGGACUCGCGGCUUAUCAGCUUGUUGGUGGGGUAGUGGCUUACCAAGGCUUUGACGGGUAGCCGGCCUGAGAGGGUGACCGGCCACAUGGGGACUGAGAUACGGCCCAGACUCCUACGGGAGGCAGCAGUGGGGAAUAUUGCACAAUGGGCGGAAGCCUGAUGCAGCAACGCCGCGUGCGGGAUGACGGCCUUCGGGUUGUAAACCGCUUUCGCCUGUGACGAAGCGUGAGUGACGGUAAUGGGUAAAGAAGCACCGGCUAACUACGUG
rnacentral:rRNA from 1 species